rnacentral:siRNA from 1 species
CGAACAACUGCGAAAGCAUUUGCC